AACAUCGCGCACCUGCGGGAACCUGCGGAGGGAUCAUUACAAGUGACCCCGGUCUAACCACCGGGAUGUUCAUAACCCUUUGUUGUCCGACUCUGUUGCCUCCGGGGCGACCCUGCCUUCGGGCGGGGGCUCCGGGUGGACACUUCAAACUCUUGCGUAACUUUGCAGUCUGAGUAAACUUAAUUAAUAAAUUAAAACUUUUAGCAAUGGAUCU
rnacentral:misc_RNA from 1 species